rnacentral:rRNA from 1 species
ACGUAGGGUGCGAGCGUUAAUCGGAAUUAUUGGGCGUAAAGCGCACGUAGGUGGUCUGUUAUGUCAGAUGUGAAAGCCCUCGGCUUAACUGAGGAAGUGCACCUGAAACUGGCAGGCUUGAGUACGAAAGAGGGUCGCGGAAUUCCCGGUGUAGAGGUGAAAUUCGUAGAUAUCGGGAGGAACACCGGUGGCGAAGGCGCGUUUCUGGGCUGCAUCUGACGCUGAGGCGCGAAAGCUAGGGGAGCAAACAGGA